rnacentral:misc_RNA from 1 species
GAUGAAGAACGUAGCGAAAUGCGAUACGUAAUGUGAAUUGCAAAUUCAGUGAAUCAUCGAGUCUUUGAACGCACAUUGCGCCCCCUGGUAUUCCGGGGGGCAUGCCUGUCCGAGCGUCAUUGCUGCCCUCAAGCACGGCUUGUGUGUUGGGCCCCGUCCUCCGAUCCCGGGGGACGGGCCCGAAAGGCAGCGGCGGCACCGCGUCCGGUCCUCGAGCAUAUGGGGCUUUGUCACCCGCUCUGUAGGCCCGGCCGGCGCUUGCCGAUCAACCCAAAUUUUUAUCCAGGUUGACCUCGGAUCAGGUAGGGAUACCCGCUGAACUUAAGCAUAUCAAUAAGCGGAGGA